rnacentral:misc_RNA from 1 species
UGUGAAGAAGAGGUUGUUAGUCUGUAUGUCAAGCUACAAAGACACCUCAAUUCUAUUAUAUGAUUCUUGACAAUUCUCUUUAAAAGAGAUGCUGCACACAAUCUACAAUCGGUGCAAACAUUUGAGACAAGCAUUUGUAUGGUAAGGCAAUACUUCUGACAAUCUUUUAGAAAGUUCUCAUAACACCAUUAAGAGAUGAAUAGUACUUUUCAUGCUCUUGUUCAUAUAUUUCUAAA